UACGUAGGGUGCGAGCGUUGCCCGGAUUUAUUGGGCGUAAAGGGCGCGUAGGCGGUCACGCACGUCCGUUGUGAAAUCGCUCGGCUCAACUGGGCGGGUCAGCGGAUACGGCGUGGCUGGAGCAAGCUAGGGGGCAAUGGAAUUCCCGGUGUAGUGGUGGAAUGCGUAGAUAUCGGGAGGAACACCAGUGGCGAAGGCGGUUGCCUGGAGCUUUGCUGACGCUGAUGCGCGAAAGCGUGGGGAGCGAUCCGG
rnacentral:rRNA from 1 species